rnacentral:rRNA from 1 species
UACGUAGGUGGCAAGCGUUGUCCGGAAUUAUUGGGCGUAAAGCGCGCGCAGGUGGUUCCUUAAGUCUGAUGUGAAAGCCCACGGCUCAACCGUGGAGGGUCAUUGGAAACUGGGGAACUUGAGUGCAGAAGAGGAAAGUGGAAUUCCACGUGUAGCGGUGAAAUGCGUAGAGAUCGGAAAGAACACCAACGGCGAAAGCACUCUGCUGGGCCGACACUGACACUGAGAGACGAAAGCUAGGGGAGCGAAUGGG